UACGUAGGGGGCAAGCGUUGUCCGGAUUCAUUGGGCGUAAAGAGCUCGUAGGCGGCUUGGCAAGUCGGGUGUGAAAACUCCAGGCUCAACCUGGAGACGCCACCCGAUACUGCCAUGGCUUGAGUCCGGUAGGGGACCACGGAAUUCCUGGUGUAGCGGUGAAAUGCGCAGAUAUCAGGAGGAACACCGGUGGCGAAGGCGGUGGUCUGGGCCGGUACUGACGCUGAGGAGCGAAAGCGUGGGGAGCAAACAGG
rnacentral:rRNA from 1 species